rnacentral:rRNA from 1 species
CUACGGGAGGCAGCAGUGGGGAAUCUUGGACAAUGGGCGCAAGCCUGAUCCAGCCAUGCCGCGUGAGUGAAGAAGGCCUUAGGGUCGUAAAGCUCUUUCGCCAGAGAUGAUAAUGACAGUAUCUGGUAAAGAAACCCCGGCUAACUCCGUGCCAGCAGCCGCGGUAAUACGGAGGGGGUUAGCGUUGUUCGGAAUUACUGGGCGUAAAGCGCGCGUAGGCGGAUUAGUCAGUCAGAGGUGAAAUCCCAGGGCUCAACCCUGGAACUGCCUUUGAUACUGCUAGUCUUGAGUUCGAGAGAGGGGAGUGGAAUUCCGAGUGUAGAGGUGAAAUUCGUAGAUAUUCGGAGGAACACCAGUGGCGAAGGCGGCUCACUGGCUCGAUACUGACGCUGAGGUGCGAAAGUGUGGGGAGCAAACAGGAUUAGAUACCCGAGUAGUC